UGCCCGCCUCCGACUCUGCAGGAGGGUACACAUUGUUAGGAGGCAGUCCUCAAUGGAUGCCCGUGUCCGUACCCGUACCUCAGCUGGCGUGACAGGUUGUUGUCGUCGUUAGACGUUAGACGUUUUUUGUGUGCCUUUUGUAUCUCGGGGCAAGGGGAAGCGGACAGCAGCAGGCAGCAGCAGCUGCCAGUUGUCGUAAAUAUUUGCGCACAAAAGUCGGCAAUGAUUUGCUGCACACAUCCACGCACCCACGCAUAAUGAGAGAAAAAAAGACUGCCUAGCCCUGGUGCGGGGACGCGGCUGGAAGAGGUAUUAUGGCGGCUAAUUUGGGCAGCCGAAUGACAAGUCAAACCAUGCGAUGCGAUGCGCUGCGAUGACGCGGCGGGCACAGUGGCAUUCGAAGGCCUCGAGCGGGGGCCAUUAGGAAUGCAAAUAGACUGAACUUAACUUAGACUGAAAUUCAAUUAAGAAGUGUUUCAAUUUUGAGAAGUGCAACUGCAGCUGCCACAAGCAUUUGCAAUUUAAAUACAUUUGUACGUGCAUUUAUAACAUCGUUAUGGGCGUGAUAAUAACAGACGAGGGACAUUAUUUGCAUUCUAUUCCCACAUACGGCAGAGGCACGCUGCGUGCAUCGUCUUUCAGGAGAUGGAGCGGGACGGGGCGAUAUAGAACGGCACGCACUUUCGUCUGGUGCGAAUGCAAGUCGUGCCGAAACUCACGACGACCCAUGACUAACGCAUAACCAGCCGCCACCCACCACCCAGCACACAGCUCGGCUCUGCCUUCGCGAUAUGAUGGUCGCACUUCGUUCCUUGGCCUCGGCUUCGGCUUCGUUUGCCGCCAACCGAACUUCGUUAGCGCUGGUUCGUUUCGUUCGGUUUGGACAUUCGAAGCAGCAGCAAUUCUGCUUUUGCUUCUGCUGCUGCCGCUGCUGCUGUCUCUGCGUUCUUUGGUGUUGCUGCUGCUGCCAGCGUCACUGCUGCUGCUUCUGCUGCUGCCUUUCGGUUUCCAUUUCAGUUGUGCAUUGGCUGGCGGACGCGACAGUUCGACAGUUUGCGGUGAAAGCAACGCAAAUCUAGCGCCAGAUUUCACGUAACGUAACGUAACGUAACGACACGUAACGGCGUGUUCUUGUGAGGCCUCCCUCGAAUUUUGGCGCAUUUUUGUAUCGUGAGUUAUUAAAAUGCGAUAAAAGCCAGUGAAUCGUCAAGGACUGCUGUGAAUGCAAUUUCCAAGUAAAAGCCAGAAGCGAAA